ACUUAAAUAUCAAAGAGUCCCUCAUCGAAAAACCAUCAAUGCGUAUGGUCUUUCUUUACAGAUAUCCUUUGGUGUCGCAGAUCUAGGGCUGUAUCCAGCUCUAGCCACAUCAGCACCUCCCUGAGUUUUACGGCAACAACUAUUUUUUGUAAAAUUUUGACACUGCCCUUCCCACUAAUUUAGCAAGAGACUUUUAUUUUGAUUAGAAUUGAA
rnacentral:lncRNA from 1 species